AGAGUUUGAUCCUGGCUCAGAAUCAACGCUGGCGGCGUGCCUAACACAUGCAAGUCGAACGCGAAAGCCCCGCAAGGGGUAAGUAGAGUGGCAAACGGGUGAGUAACACGUGGGUGACCUGCCUUCGAGUGGGGGAUAACGUCCCGAAAGGGACGCUAAUACCGCAUGACAUCCUGCUCUUGGACGAGCGGAGAUCAAAGCCGGGGAUCGCAAGACCUGGCGCUUGAAGAGGGGCCCGCGCCUGAUUAGCUAGUUGGUGGGGUAACGGCUCACCAAGGCGACGAUCAGUAUCCGGCCUGAGAGGGCGGACGGACACACUGGGACUGAGACACGGCCCAGACUCCUACGGGAGGCAGCAGUGGGGAAUUGUUCGCAAUGGGCGCAAGCCUGACGACGCAACGCCGCGUGGAGGACGAAGAUCUUCGGGUCGUAAACUCCUGUCGAGCGGGACGAACACCCACCGGGUGAACAAUCCGGAGGGCUGACGGUACCGCUAAAGGAAGCCCCGGCUAACUCCGUGCCAGCAGCCGCGGUAAUACGGGGGGGGCAAGCGUUGUUCGGAAUUACUGGGCGUAAAGGGCUCGUAGGCGGCCAACUAAGUCGGAUGUGAAAUCCCCAGGCUCAACUUGGGAACUGCAUCCGAUACUGGAUGGCUUGAAUCCGGGAGAGGGAUGCAGAAUUCCAGGUGUAGCGGUGAAAUGCGUAGAUAUCUGGAGGAAUACCGGUGGCGAAGGCGGCAUCCUGGACCGGCAUUGACGCUGAGGAGCGAAAGCCAGGGGAGCAAACGGGAUUAGAUACCC
rnacentral:rRNA from 1 species